UUUCCAGAGAUGGAUUGGUGCCUUCGGGAACCGUGAGACAGGUGCUGCAUGGCUGUCGUCAGCUCGUGUUGUGAAAUGUUGGGUUAAGUCCCGCAACGAGCGCAACCCUUAUCCUUUGUUGCCAGCGAUUCGGUCGGGAACUCAAAGGAGACUGCCAGUGAUAAACUGGAGGAAGGUGGGGAUGACGUCAAGUCAUCAUGGCCCUUACGACCAGGGCUACACACGUGCUACAAUGGCGCAUACAAAGAGAAGCGACCUCGCGAGAGCAAGCGGAUCUCAUAAAGUGCGUCGUAGUCCGGAUUGGAGUCUGCAACUCGACUCCAUGAAGUCGGAAUCGCUAGUAAUCGUGGAUCAGAAUGCCACGGUGAAUACGUUCCCGGGCCUUGUACACACCGCCCGUCACACCAUGGGAGUGGGUUGCAAAAGAAGUAGGUAGCUUAACCUUCGGGAGGGCGCUUACCACUUUGUGAUUCAUGACUGGGGUGAAGUCGUAACAAGGUAACCGUAGGGGAACCUGCGGUUGGAUCACCUCCUUACCUUAAAGAAGC
rnacentral:rRNA from 2 species